rnacentral:rRNA from 1 species
GUAUCCUGGCUCAGAUUGAACGCUGGCGGCAUGCUUUACACAUGCAAGUCGAACGGCAGCAUAGAGAGCUUGCUCUCUGAUGGCGAGUGGCGAACGGGUGAGUAAUACAUCGGAACGUGUCCGUUUGUGGGGGACAACCACCCGAAAGGGUGGCUAAUACCGCAUAAGACCUGAGGGUGAAAGCCGGGACCGCGAAGGCCUGGCGCGAACGGAGCGGCCGAUGACUGAUUAGCUGGUUGGG